GAUCAGCCUCUUUUCGAACCCUAAAACCUAAAAACGAUCUAUUACACUUAUAGACCUAUAUUUCUUCAUUCCAAAACGUUCGGGUUCAUUUCAUUACGCUAAGUGUGUGAUUUUAUGUUCCUCUCGCAAGAUUUAAGUGCGUUCUUCGUCGCGUUCAUCGGUGGUGUGUUGGUGGCUUCACUUAGUUUUGGUCCAGACCUUUAUUCUUGAUCUAUUUUCAUCAUACAUCAGUUCAUACAUCAAUCUUAGACUCGUCGAAUGUUCGUGCUUCGGAGACGAAUCAGGAUUAGUUUGCUUGCCAGGUUAUCACGUGGAUUAGCAAGCAGGUUAUGAUCUGAGAGAGUCUGGUGAUCUCCGCAUUUACUUUUCCUCGGAGGUUCCAUUUAUUUUGAUAAACUGUCAAACUAUUUUAU